rnacentral:rRNA from 1 species
GAUCCUGGCUCAGAAUCAACGCUGGCGGCGUGCCUAACACAUGCAAGUCGAACGCGAAAGGGGCUUCGGCCCUGAGUAGAGUGGCGAACGGGUGAGUAACACGUGGGUGAUCUACCUUCGAGUGGGGGAUAACGUCCCGAAGGGGAGGCUAAUACCGCAUGACGUUCUGGGUUUAAAGACCUGGAAACCAAAGCCGGGGACCGCAAGGCCUGGCGCUUGAAGAGGAGCCCGCGUCCGAUUAGCUAGUUGGCGGGGUAAUGGCCCACCAAGGCGACGAUCGGUAGCCGGCCUGAGAGGGCGGACGGCCACACUGGAACUGAGACACGGUCCAGACUCCUACGGGAGGCAGCAGUGGGGAAUUGUUCACAAUGGGCGCAAGCCUGAUGACGCAACGCCGCGUGGGGGAUGAAGGUCUUCGGAUUGUAAACCCCUGUCGAAUGGGACGAAUGAUUCGCGCACUAACACCGCGCGGAAAUGACGGUACCGUUAAAGGAAGCCACGGCUAACUCUGUGCCAGCAGCCGCGGUAAUACAGAGGUGGCAAGCGUUGUUCGGAAUUACUGGGCGUAAAGGGCGCGUAGGCGGCCAUCUAAGUCAGACGUGAAAUCCCCCGGCUUAACCUGGGAACUGCGUCUGAUACUGGAAGGCUCGAGUUUGGGAGAGGGAUGUAGAAUUCCAGGUGUAGCGGUGA